rnacentral:rRNA from 1 species
GGUUAAGCGACUAAGCGUACACGGUGGAUGCCCUGGCAGUCAGAGGCGAUGAAGGACGUGCUAAUCUGCGAUAAGCGUCGGUAAGGUGAUAUGAACCGUUAUAACCGGCGAUUUCCGAAUGGGGAAACCCAGUGUGAUUCGUCACACUAUCAUUAACUGAAUCCAUAGGUUAAUGAGGCGAACCGGGGGAACUGAAACAUCUAAGUACCCCGAGGAAAAGAAAUCAACCGAGAUUCCCCCAGUAGCGGCGAGCGAACGGGGAGGAGCCCAGAGCCUGAAUCAGUGUGUGUGUUAGUGGAAGCGUCUGGAAAGGCGCGCGAUACAGGGUGACAGCCCCGUACACAAAAAUGCACAUGCUGUGAGCUCGAUGAGUAGGGCGGGACACGUGGUAUCCUGUCUGAAUAUGGGGGGACCAUCCUCCAAGGCUAAAUACUCCUGACUGACCGAUAGUGAACCAGUACCGUGAGGGAAAGGCGAAAAGAACCCCGGCGAGGGGAGUGAAAAAGAACCUGAAACCGUGUACGUACAAGCAGUGGGAGCACGCUUAGGCGUGUGACUGCGUACCUUUUGUAUAAUGGGUCAGCGACUUAUAUUCUGUAGCAAGGUUAACCGAAUAGGGGAGCCGAAGGGAAACCGAGUCUUAACUGGGCGUUAAGUUGCAGGGUAUAGACCCGAAACCCGGUGAUCUAGCCAUGGGCAGGUUGAAGGUUGGGUAACACUAACUGGAGGACCGAACCGACUAAUGUUGAAAAAUUAGCGGAUGACUUGUGGCUGGGGGUGAAAGGCCAAUCAAACCGGGAGAUAGCUGGUUCUCCCCGAAAGCUAUUUAGGUAGCGCCUCGUGAAUUCAUCUCCGGGGGUAGAGCACUGUUUCGGCAAGGGGGUCAUCCCGACUUACCAACCCGAUGCAAACUGCGAAUACCGGAGAAUGUUAUCACGGGAGACACACGGCGGGUGCUAACGUCCGUCGUGAAGAGGGAAACAACCCAGACCGCCAGCUAAGGUCCCAAAGUCAUGGUUAAGUGGGAAACGAUGUGGGAAGGCCCAGACAGCCAGGAUGUUGGCUUAGAAGCAGCCAUCAUUUAAAGAAAGCGUAAUAGCUCACUGGUCGAGUCGGCCUGCGCGGAAGAUGUAACGGGGCUAAACCAUGCACCGAAGCUGCGGCAGCGACGCUGAUGCGUUGUUGGGUAGGGGAGCGUUCUGUAAGCCUGCGAAGGUGUGCUGUGAGGCAUGCUGGAGGUAUCAGAAGUGCGAAUGCUGACAUAAGUAACGAUAAAGCGGGUGAAAAGCCCGCUCGCCGGAAGACCAAGGGUUCCUGUCCAACGUUAAUCGGGGCAGGGUGAGUCGACCCCUAAGGCGAGGCCGAAAGGCGUAGUCGAUGGGAAACAGGUUAAUAUUCCUGUACUUGGUGUUACUGCGAAGGGGGGACGGAGAAGGCUAUGUUGGCCGGGCGACGGUUGUCCCGGUUUAAGCGUGUAGGCUGGUUUUCCAGGCAAAUCCGGAAAAUCAAGGCUGAGGCGUGAUGACGAGGCACUACGGUGCUGAAGCAACAAAUGCCCUGCUUCCAGGAAAAGCCUCUAAGCAUCAGGUAACAUCAAAUCGUACCCCAAACCGACACAGGUGGUCAGGUAGAGAAUACCAAGGCGCUUGAGAGAACUCGGGUGAAGGAACUAGGCAAAAUGGUGCCGUAACUUCGGGAGAAGGCACGCUGAUAUGUAGGUGAAGUCCCUCGCGGAUGGAGCUGAAAUCAGUCGAAGAUACCAGCUGGCUGCAACUGUUUAUUAAAAACACAGCACUGUGCAAACACGAAAGUGGACGUAUACGGUGUGACGCCUGCCCGGUGCCGGAAGGUUAAUUGAUGGGGUUAGCGCAAGCGAAGCUCUUGAUCGAAGCCCCGGUAAACGGCGGCCGUAACUAUAACGGUCCUAAGGUAGCGAAAUUCCUUGUCGGGUAAGUUCCGACCUGCACGAAUGGCGUAAUGAUGGCCAGGCUGUCUCCACCCGAGACUCAGUGAAAUUGAACUCGCUGUGAAGAUGCAGUGUACCCGCGGCAAGACGGAAAGACCCCGUGAACCUUUACUAUAGCUUGACACUGAACAUUGAGCCUUGAUGUGUAGGAUAGGUGGGAGGCUUUGAAGUGUGGACGCCAGUCUGCAUGGAGCCGACCUUGAAAUACCACCCUUUAAUGUUUGAUGUUCUAACGUUGACCCGUAAUCCGGGUUGCGGACAGUGUCUGGUGGGUAGUUUGACUGGGGCGGUCUCCUCCUAAAGAGUAACGGAGGAGCACGAAGGUUGGCUAAUCCUGGUCGGACAUCAGGAGGUUAGUGCAAUGGCAUAAGCCAGCUUGACUGCGAGCGUGACGGCGCGAGCAGGUGCGAAAGCAGGUCAUAGUGAUCCGGUGGUUCUGAAUGGAAGGGCCAUCGCUCAACGGAUAAAAGGUACUCCGGGGAUAACAGGCUGAUACCGCCCAAGAGUUCAUAUCGACGGCGGUGUUUGGCACCUCGAUGUCGGCUCAUCACAUCCUGGGGCUGAAGUAGGUCCCAAGGGUAUGGCUGUUCGCCAUUUAAAGUGGUACGCGAGCUGGGUUUAGAACGUCGUGAGACAGUUCGGUCCCUAUCUGCCGUGGGCGCUGGAGAACUGAGGGGGGCUGCUCCUAGUACGAGAGGACCGGAGUGGACGCAUCACUGGUGUUCGGGUUGUCAUGCCAAUGGCACUGCCCGGUAGCUAAAUGCGGAAGAGAUAAGUGCUGAAAGCAUCUAAGCACGAAACUUGCCCCGAGAUGAGUUCUCCCUGACUCCUUGAGAGUCCUGAAGGAACGUUGAAGACGACGACGUUGAUAGGCCGGGUGUGUAAGCGCAGCGAUGCGUUGAGCUAACCGGUACUAAUGAACCGUGAGGCUUAACCUU